UAAUACGUAGGGUGCAAGCGUUGUCCGGAAUUAUUGGGCGUAAAGAGCUCGUAGGCGGUCUGUCACGUCGGACGUGAAAAUCCAGGGCUCAACCCUGGACCUGCGUUCGAUACGGGCAGACUAGAGUUCGGUAGGGGAGACUGGAAUUCCUGGUGUAGCGGUGAAAUGCGCAGAUAUCAGGAGGAACACCGGUGGCGAAGGCGGGUCUCUGGGCCGAAACUGACGCUGAGGAGCGAAAGCGUGGGGAGCAAACAGGAUUAGAUACCCUGGUAGUCCACGCCGUAAACGUUGGGCGCUAGGUGUGGGGAACCUUCCACGUUCUCCGUGCCGCAGCUAACGCAUUAAGCGCCCCGCCUGGGGAGUACGGCCGCAAGGCUA
rnacentral:rRNA from 1 species